CCUACGGGAGGCAGCAGUGAGGAAUAUUGGUCAAUGGCCGUAAGGCUGAACCAGCCAAGUCGCGUGAAGGAAGAAGGAUCUAUGGUUUGUAAACUUCUUUUAUAGGGGAAUAAAGGUAUCCACGUGUGGAUAUUUGCAUGUACCCUAUGAAUAAGCAUCGGCUAACUCCGUGCCAGCAGCCGCGGUAAUACGGAGGAUGCGAGCGUUAUCCGGAUUUAUUGGGUUUAAAGGGUGCGUAGGUUGUUUUUUAAGUCAGCGGUGAAAGUUUGUGGCUCAACCAUAAAAUUGCCGUUGAAACUGGAAGACGUGAGUGUGUUUGAGGUAGGCGGAAUGCGUGGUGUAGCGGUGAAAUGCAUAGAUAUCACGCAGAAAUCCGAUUGCGAAGGCAGCUUACUAAGCCAUAACUGACACUGAAGCACGAAAGCGUGGGGAUCAAACAGGAUUAGAUACCCGAGUAGUC
rnacentral:rRNA from 1 species